UGCGUAAAUGUUAAACAAUUUAAUACAAAAUUUUUAUAAAGAAUUUAAGAUAGUAAAACCUUAAGCUUACUAUAAAAUCAAAAAUUUUACAAACUUUGCUUUUGUUUUCACUUUUUUUCAGACAAUAUGUCGCAUUAAGGAAACGAUUUCCACGUUAUCCCUUAUGGGGAUUGGACACCCAUAUUUUCAGAGGCCGGGUCAGAUUGCAAUCCCUGCAAUUUGAACAAGGGUGUGUUUACUUUCGGCUACCCCUUUGAUUGCCCGAUUGCGUGGGCCGGACUAAUGUCUUUUGUACAUGUUUGUCGCGACCGCGAUUCGAUAUCAGUUGUACUGGCUGAGAUAAGCCAUAAAUAAACGGAGGGAAAGAAAACAUUUCACAGAAACAAAAAAAAAACAAAAAUGGUAUUCAUAUCUAUGUGGUUUACCUGUACAUCGAAAAACCGGUUCGCAGAUUCUUUUCACCUGGGCGAACUGCCAAUCUGGGAGACGAGGUAAAAGUGCCAAAAUGUAUAUCGUUUUAAUGGGUUCUCUAUGUGCGGCCGACACUGUGUGUAGUGCAAUCAGAAAGCAUAAUCGAGGCAAUCGACCAUGAAACUGAGCAACAACUACGCAAACUAUCUAUAAGAUACAUUACCCAUCGCACAGCCAAUUGUGGCCAGGAAGGGGGGAAAAGUUUAUACAGAACUUCCUGUUGCUAAAAUUUACAACGAAACGUUUUCAACAUUGAAUUCGAAAUAUUGGCAAAUAUUGUUUGGAUUUCAAAGCUUUUGAACGCGCGACGGCGACGAACACAACUGAGUUAUGAAAACUGAAUGAAAAGCACAAAAGCAGAGCAAAGUAAACUUGUUUGACGCCUGCCCACCCCCAAACAAAAGGGAGGGAAAGAGCGAGCAAUAUGAAGAGAGAGAGAAACAUCAAUAUUGGCGCUUUUUAGCAUUUUGACUUAACAACACUGGCAGUGAGAACGAGGCAUUACCAUCUGGUAAAAAAGCUUUCAAAACUUGUUGCUCUUGUCUCUUUCGUUUUUCUCUUUUUGGAUUGGAGUCUUAAAUUGCUAAUAUUCGUAUAUUUUAUAGAGAUCAGAGUAAAUCUCUUACAGUUUUCGAUUUACCCCUCUCUUUCUCUUCUAAAUUCCCCUCUCUUUCUCGCACACAAAAACCUCUGCAAAUUUGAAUUAAUGGUUCACCCUGUUGCUUUUUAUCUUUUAAUUGAGCUGAGCUGCAAUUCAAGUGGACCGUCUUUGAACUGGACCAACAAGUCUCUAUCUGGUAAACAUCUACGAGAGCGGUCCAUAAUUCAGCAAAUUAAAUGAAAGGCUGUUUGGAAAAUGGUUUUUAUUGAUGUCAUUUCAGUUGUGAUAAAAGUGUAAUCACUGAGGAAAUAAUUUUAAAUGGAUUAAUAUAAGAUUUAUUUA